AGUUAAAAAGCUCGUAGUUGGAUUUCGGAGUGGGCCAGUUGGUCCGCCGCAAGGUGUGUUACUGACUGGUUUGCUCUUCUUCGCAAAGACUGCGUGUGCUCUUGAGUGAGUGUGCGUAGGAUUUACGACGUUUACUUUGAAAAAAUUAGAGUGUUCAAAGCAGGCUAUUGCUUGAAUACAUGAGCAUGGAAUAAUGGAAUAGGACUUUGGUCCCAUUUUGUUGGUUUCUAGGGCCGAAGUAAUGAUUAAGAGGGACAAUUGGGGGCAUCCGUAUUUCGUUGUCAGAGGUGAAAUUCUUGGAUUUACGAAAGACGAACAACUGCGAAAGCACUCGCCAAGAGUGUUUUCAUUAAUCAAGAACGAAAGUUAGAGGAUCGAAGACGAUCAGAUACCGUCCUAGUUCUAACCAUAAACGAUGUCGACUAGGGAUCAGCGGGCGUUAUCGUACGACCCCGUUGGCACCUUACGGGAAACCAAAGUUUUUGGAUUCCGGGGGAAGUAUGGUUGCAAAGCUGAAACUUAAAGGAAUUGACGGAAGGGCACCACCAGGAGUGGAGCCUGUGGCUCAUUUUGACUCAACACGGGAAAACUUACCAGGUCCAGACAUAGUAAGGAU
rnacentral:rRNA from 1 species